rnacentral:misc_RNA from 1 species
UAAGAAAAAGAAGAGAUUCCAUUCCAGUAAUUUUCCAUACAGGACAAUUUAAAUAAUCUCACAAUUAAUACAGAAGAAAGCCCACACAUCAGCAUAUUCUCCUAUAUAGGUAAAGCCAAAAUUCAACAGAGCAGUGGAGAAAAGGCAUCAAUACUCAGUUCUCACUUUUCUUUCCCUUAUAAUACUACGAAAUUAUAUCAAUCAUAGCUUUGAAUCAGGAAAAUCUAGCGCAGCUGUUACCGCUGAUUCAUUAUUCUACCCAAGUGGAAAAUUGAAAG